AGUGAACGCUGGCGGUAGGCCUAACACAUGCAAGUCGAACGGCAGCACAGUAAGAGCUUGCUCUUACGGGUGGCGAGUGGCGUACGUGUGAGGAAUAUAUCGGAAUCUACUUUUUCGUGGGGGAUAACGUAGGGAAACUUACGCUAAUACCGCAUACGACCUACGGGUGAAAGCGGGGGAACUUCGGACCUUGCGCGAUUGAAUGAGCCGAUGUCGGAUUAGCUAGUUGGCGGGUUAAAGGCCCACCAAGGCGACGAUCCGUAGCUGGUCUGAGAGGAUGAUCAGCCACACUGGAACUGAGACACGGUCCAGACUCCUACGGGAGGGAGCAGUGGGGAAUAUUGGACAAUGGGCGCAAGCCUGAUCCAGCCAUCCCGCGUGGGUGGAGAAGGCCUUCGGGUUGUGAAGCCCUUUUGUUGGGAAAGAAAAGCAGCAGGUUAAUACCCCGCUGUUCUGACGGUACCCAAAGAAUAAGCACCGGCUAACUUCGUG
rnacentral:rRNA from 1 species